AUAGGCUAUAGAUGUAAAGGCAGUAAUGUCAUAGUCGAGUAGUACUAAUAACCCGUAAGCUUAUGUAC
rnacentral:rRNA from 1 species